UACGUAGGGGGCUAGCGUUGUCCGGAAUCCUUGGGCGUAAAGCGCGUGUAGGCGGUCCGGUAAGUCCGCUGUGAAAGUCGAGGGCUCAACCCUCGAAUGCCGGCGGAUACUGUCGGGCUUGAGUACGGGAGAGGCGAGUGGAAUUCCUGGUGUAGCGGUGAAAUGCGCAGAUAUCAGGAGGAACACCGAUUGCGAAGGCAGCUCGCUGGAACGUUACUGACGCUGAGACGCGAAAGCCAGGGGAGCAAACGGG
rnacentral:rRNA from 1 species